rnacentral:rRNA from 1 species
AAUCAACGCUGGCGGCGUGCCUCAGACAUGCAAGUCGAACGCGAAAUCUCCCUUCGGGGAGAAAGUAGAGUGGCGCACGGGUGAGUAACACGUAGGUAAUUUGCCUUCGGGUGGGGAAGUAACUCAGGGAAACGUUGAGCUAAUACCGCAUAAUGCAGCGGCUCGACAUCGAGACAGUUGUUAAAGCGGGGGAGUCGCAAGACCUCGCGCCUGAAGAGAAGCCUGCGGCAGAUUAGCUAGUU